rnacentral:rRNA from 2 species
UAGAGGGUGAUCCUGGCUCAGGACGAACGCUGGCGGCGUGCCUAAUACAUGCAAGUCGAAGGAAACUUUCUUACACCGAAUGCUUGCAUUCACCGUAAGAAGUUGAGUGGCGGACGGGUGAGUAACACGUGGGUAACCUGCCUAAAAGAAGGGGAUAACACUUGGAAACAGGUGCUAAUACCGUAUAUCUCUAAGGAUCGCAUGAUCCUUAGAUGAAAGAUGGUUCUGCUAUCGCUUUUAGAUGGACCCGCGGCGUAUUAACUAGUUGGUGGGGUAACGGCCUACCAAGGUGAUGAUACGUAGCCGAACUGAGAGGUUGAUCGGCCACAUUGGGACUGAGACACGGCCCAAACUCCUACGGGAGGCAGCAGUAGGGAAUCUUCCACAAUGGACGCAAGUCUGAUGGAGCAACGCCGCGUGAGUGAAGAAGGUCUUCGGAUGGAAA